GUAUCUAAUCCUGUUUGCUCCCCACACUUUCGCACCUCAGCGUCAGUUUCGAGCCAGUAAGCCGCCUUCGCCACUGGUGUUCCUCCAAAUAUCUACGAAUUUCACCGCUACACUACACAUUCUAUCUACUUCCAUAUGACUCAAGUCAACCAGUAUCAAAGGCAGUUCCAUAGUUGAGCUAUGGGAUUUCACCUCUGACUUAAUCGACCGCCUGCGGACCCUUUAAACCCAAUGAUUCCGGAUAACGCUCGGACCCUCCGUAUUACCGCGGCUGCUGGCACGGAGUUAGCCGGUCCUUAUUCUUACAGUACCGUCAAGCUGGUAUACAUACCAGUGUUUCUUCCUGUAUAAAAGUAGUUUACAACCCAUAGGGCAUUCUUCCUACACGCGGCAUGGCUGGAUCAGAGUCUCCUCCAUUGUCCAAUAUUCCUCACUGCUGCCUCCCGUAGGAGUCUGGUCCGUGUCUCAGUACCAGUGUGGGGGAUCUCCCUCUCAGGACCCCUACCUAUCGCUGUCUUGGUAAGCCGUUACCUUACCAACUAACUAAUAGGACGCAUAGCCAUCUUUUACCGAUAAAUCUUUAAUUAUAAACUGAUGCCAGUCUACAAUACUAUGAGGCAUUAAUCUUCAUUUCUAAAGGCUAUUCCUCUGUAAAAGGUAGGUUCUAUACGCGUUACGCACCCGUGCGCCGGUCGUCAUCUGUGCAAGCACAAUGUUACCCCUCGACUUGCAUGUGUUAAGCCUGCCGCUAGCGUUCAUCCUGAGCCAGGAUCAAACUCU
rnacentral:rRNA from 1 species